AUAGCGUAUAUUAAAGUUGUUGCAGUUAAAAAGCUCGUAGUUGAACCUUGGGCCUGGCUGGUUGGUCCGCCUCACCGCGUGUACUGAUCCGGCCGGACCUUUCCUUCUGGGGAACUGCAUGCCCUUUACUGGGUGUGUCAGGGAUCCAGGACUUUUACUUUGAAAAAAUUAGAGUGUUCAAAGCAGGCCUAUGCUCGAAUACAUUAGCAUGGAAUAAUAGAAUAGGACGUGUGGUUCUAUUUUGUUGGUUUCUAGAGCCGCCGUAAUGAUUAAUAGGGAUAGUCGGGGGCAUCAGUAUUCAAUUGUCAGAGGUGAAAUUCUUGGAUUUAUUGAAGACUAACUACUG
rnacentral:rRNA from 1 species